UGGAAUACUUGAACCUAUUGAAUGAUUGAACCACUUUGUACGGUUUGAUAUAUCAGUUGUAUUUAACCUGUUGGUGGAUUUUACGACAAUUACGAUUUUGAACACCAACAAAAUGGACGACGAAGGUUCUGUGUGAUGAACAAUAGCCGAUUGUAGUUCCUAGUAAUGAGAAAUGGCUAGAUGUUAUACAAUAUCAUACUUCAUGAUGUCACCAACAAUGUCAUGUUCUGAGUAUUGGAAAAUAGUUGGAGACUCAGCAGUGCAAAAACUAGUUAACUCAGAAUGUGUGUUCCAACUGACGGAUGAUAUUGUCAGAUAAGAGCACAUUGGCAUGUUGCAUACGUUGACUUUCUGAAUUACAGAAAAUAGUUUCAGUCAGGAUACCAGAACGCAUCACGACUUCCAGGGCAUGGCUUUAGCUCCUCCAGAAAGAACACUAGAAACACUUGAUUAUUUGUGUGAAAUACUUUGAAAUAAAAAAGACUCUUUCUGCAUAAUAUAAUUCCUAAAGAAAAUCAAUGAACCUAAAGAAUGAUUUACAUAUAUGUAAAAAUAUGUUCCAAUAAAAGUAUCAAUUUUUA